AGGUAAGCUACUAAGAGCGAAUGGUGGAUGCCUUGACUGGUAAAGGCGAUGAAGGACGUACUAGACUGCGAUAAGCUACGGGGAGCUGUCAAGAAGCUUUGAUCCGUAGAUUUCCGAAUGGGGCAACCCAAUGUAUAGAGAUAUACAUUACCUAUAUAGGAGCGAACGAGGGGAAUUGAAACAUCUUAGUACCCUCAGGAAAAGAAAUCAAUAGAGAUUGCGUCAGUAGCGGCGAGCGAAAGCGCAAGAGGGCAAACCCAGUGCUUGCACUGGGGGUUGUAGGACUGCAAUGUGCAAGAGGUGAGUUUAGCAGAACAUUCUGGAAAGUAUAGCCAUAGAGGGUGAUAGUCCCGUAUGCGAAAAACAAACCUUAGCUAGCAGUAUCCUGAGUAGGGCGGGACACGAGAAAUCCUGUCUGAAGCUGGGUCGACCACGAUCCAACCCUAAAUACUAAUACCAGAUCGAUAGUGCACAAGUACCGUGAGGGAAAGGUGAAAAGAACUGAGGUGAUCAGAGUGAAAUAGAACCUGAAACCAUUUGCUUACAAUCAUUCAGAGCCCUAUGUAGCAAUACAGGGUGAUGGACUGCCUUUUGCAUAAUGAGCCUGCGAGUUGUGGUGUCUGGCAAGGUUAAGCAAACGCGAAGCCGUAGCGAAAGCGAGUCUGAAUAGGGCGCUUAGUCAGAUGCUGCAGACCCGAAACGAAGUGAUCUAUCCAUGAGCAAGUUGAAGCUAGUGUAAGAACUAGUGGAGGACUGAACCCAUAGGCGUUGAAAAGCCCCGGGAUGACUUGUGGAUAGGGGUGAAAGGCCAAUCAAACUUCGUGAUAGCUGGUUCUCUCCGAAAUAUAUUUAGGUAUAGCGUUGUGUCGUAAUAUAAGGGGGUAGAGCACUGAAUGGGCUAGGGCAUACACCAAUGUACCAAACCCUAUCAAACUCCGAAUACCUUAUAUGUAAUCACAGCAGUCAGGCGGCGAGUGAUAAAAUCCGUCGUCAAGAGGGAAACAACCCAGACUACCAGCUAAGGUCCCUAAAUCUUACUUAAGUGGAAAACGAUGUGAAGUUACUUAAACAACCAGGAGGUUGGCUUAGAAGCAGCCAUCCUUUAAAGAAAGCGUAAUAGCUCACUGGUCUAGUGAUUUUGCGCGGAAAAUAUAACGGGGCUAAAGUAAGUACCGAAGCUGUAGACUUGCGCACAACUUAGAUUAUUUAAGUUUAGAAUAUGAGAAACUAAGUUAUAUGUUUAGUUAUAUUUUUACUGAUUUUUAUAGAGUAAAGAUAGAAAUAAAACUUAGUAAAAUCAGUAAAAAUAUUCUUAGACUAAAGUUAAGUAGUUUAAGUUGUGUGCAAGUGGUAGGAGAGCGUUCUAUUUGCGUCGAAGGUAUACCGGUAAGGAGUGCUGGAGCGAAUAGAAGUGAGCAUGCAGGCAUGAGUAGCGAUAAUUAAUGUGAGAAUCAUUAACGCCGUAAACCCAAGGUUUCCUACGCGAUGCUCGUCAUCGUAGGGUUAGUCGGGUCCUAAGUCGAGUCCGAAAGGGGUAGACGAUGGCAAA
rnacentral:rRNA from 1 species